AGCAAGCAGUCGUAAACUAGAUGUACUGCGAUUAUUUUCACAAAUUCUGAACUGAAAAUCGUGUUGCUAAGCAGCCGAAACAAAGUUACAAGCCAUUUCAUACCAUUUUUUCUUGCUGAGAAGCAGAAAAGUUUGAGUUUUGUUGGAUGUAGCGUAUACUUGUUCUUCGAAGGAAGUUAGCUAUGAUGUCGCAUACAAUCUAGUUUGUUCAGAAGGCCGCAACCGCAAUUCGGAGACCACCUACAAUGUGACUACGAGAGCGUCACAAAGGUUGUCAGUUGUUAGCUUUCGAAGAUCAGCUAACGGAUCUGUUUAAUGCACCAAAAAUUGUUGGUCGAUUGUGCGCCAUACACUAAGAAAUAGAUUAAGGAGAAAAUUUACAUUCUGCUAAGGCCUUCCCUAUGAAAUAGAAGAUGGCUGAAGUUGGAGCUCGAUCGCACGAGAUGGAAAAAACAGCUUGCACACAGAUUUGACAUGAUUUGAUUUGUGGUAGACGAGAUGUGCACUCUAGAACACCACAGGUUUAGAUGCAAAAAACCUUUAGAAAUAUUUAACAAUCCUACUCAAAAUGCAUAAAUAUGCUCCUGAACAAUCAGUAUAUUUAUUGCUUCUUCGGCAGCCGAGCAGGAGAGUCGUUUUUCUUAUAUGCUCUGCAGAAUUUCCGAAUUAACUCCCGCUAUUUUUAGCGUUCGCGUGUGCAGUGAGUGCUAGUGCCCGUUUUAGACGCGAGAGCUGAAAGGUGUCGUGCUGGUCCAGCAACAGUGAAGAAACGAUUCAACUGUUAGUGGAACCCUGACGGGGAAAGGUUGGCGGCGCUGUCGUUCAGCAGACAUUCAGUGCGGCGGCAACGCAACACAUAAGGCGUGUGUAGUGUGUGGUAGUGGCGUCUUACCAGCGUAGCGGCGUUUUUGGCGUGAGAGCUGAAAGGUGUCGUGCUUACUCGGCUUCAUAUUGCUCGUCCCGCAGCAGCUUCCAUCAAGCUAGGUACCAAAAACCGUUCUAGGUGCAAAGAACCGAUUCAAAAAACUAAAACCGUUGCAGCCGUCAUGCCAACACACAAUUUCACCCACCGUAGAUAAAAAUACAGCUAACGACAUCUAACCGCCACUGGAAAAGUAGCAAAUGUUAGAACCACAAACAGACGUCACUUGUACACUAGCGCCGCGUGGUAAUCUUAUUGCUAAAAUAUACUUUCUGACGUAGAGCUACGUCUCUGAGGAAGUUCGGCUACAUCGGAAUUAAAAAAGAAAUUUUAAAACCGGAAAAAGUUAAGAAUAUGUUUAAUUUUAAAUGUUAAUAAAUCAGUUAGUUUUCGUUGCUCCCAAAUGCAGAAAAUUAUAAUUUUAUU